AAGACGUGACAAUCUUGAGAUAGAUCUAAGACGUGACAAUCUUGAGAUAGAUCUAAGACGUAACCUGUCACGUCUUAGAUAUAUCUCAAGGCUGUCACGUCUU
rnacentral:pre_miRNA from 1 species